AUUUCUCUAAUAUAUCCUCACCAUACCAAGCAGAAGAUGCCUGCACAAUCAUAGUGCAAUUGGUACAUGAAGCAAAAAAGAAUUUAAUCUGUCAAAAAAAAAAGAAAGAAAAGAAAAAUCCGAACUGAAUACGAAAUCAAAAAAAUCAAAAUAAGAACCUAUAUAGAAAAUGAAAAACAACUGAAAGAUUCAACAGUUCUAUGAAACAUAGACAAGCUAACAACAAUCAUUCACUUGUAAGCCAUGGCAAACACUGAAAACUAUAGUGAAAUAGAAAAUUAAACCUAAAUAAUAGUAGUAAUAAUAAUAACAAUAAGAAAAACCUACUGUUUGGUUGACAAGAAAAAUUGGAACCAACCAGUGCAAGCAAGCAUAUAGCGAUGCUCUUCUUAGAUUCAAUUCGGUUAAAUAUCAAGUAGUUGGCUUAAAGUUCCACUCCAUAAGACCUUUCACUCUCUCUCUCUUACUCUAUUUUCUCCCCCCGUCUUCACUCCUAAUCAUCCUAAACCAACUGAGCUCCUCCACAACCCAUUGAAAGACACCAAGUUGCACCAGCAACAGAAAUCAUAGCUGCACCAAAACUGUUGAACAACUCAAGAAGCGUGAUAGCAGUUAGGAGUUUGUUUUAGUUUGUUAUUAGGUUAAACUUGUUGAGAUAUUAGGAAUGCUUUUCUUGUAUCAUUCUUUCCUUAUAUCAUUCUUUCCUUGUAUCAUUCUUUCCCAUUCUUAGAAUGGUGAUUAUCCUCUAUAUAUACUCUGUACAUGAACGAAUAAAAGAAUGAAUGAGAUAAAUAAAUAAAAAACACACACCAUUCAUCAAUUUGAAGAUGGUAUCAGAGCCAUGAAACUGAAAUCUUGGAUAUUUUGUCUGUAAGGCCAACCAUUGCUUUCAUAUACAGAUUUGCCAUCCAGAUUCCGAUCUCCGUUACCCAAUUUUCUGAUUCGUUGAUCUUCUGUCCUUCGCUUUUGAUUUCAGAUUUAUUAUUAUUCAUGUGGGACCAUAGUCAUUGGAAUAUCGGAGUGAAAAAAAAAAGAAAGGAAAGAAAAAAAAAAGGAAAAAAAAAUUGAGUGAAAAAAAUACUAUUGUUUUUCAAUCUGAAGGUACGUUUAAUCCAUGAAUUAUUUUGACUGAAUCAAACUAUGACGUUUGGUCACAACUCAUGGAGAUGCAUAUUGCUGAAAGGGAAAAACUUUCCUACAUUCGAGGUAAAACAAAUCCACCAAAAGAGUCAGAAGAUGGAUAUGAAAAAUGGUAUGUUGAGAAUCAAAAGGUGAAGAUAUGGUUGUUAAUGUGCAUGAGUCUAGAAAUUAUGAAGUGUUACUUACGCUUACCCACUGCUCAAGAAAUUUAGAGUGCAUUAUCAAAGGCCUUCUAUGAUGGAAGUGAUGAAUUACAAGUUUUCACUUUGAAUAAAAAAGUCUUCACUGCCAAACAAAGCGGCAGGUCUCUUUCUGAAUAUUAUGGAGAGUUAACUGAGAUUUUUUGCGAAUUGGAUCAUCAGGAUAAGGUAGUCAUGAAAGAUCCUGAUGACAUUGCAGCAUACCAGAAAUCCAUUGAAUGACAACGAGUGCACAUCUUUCUUGCUGGAUUGGAUGGUGACCUUGAGCAAGUUCGAGGAGAGAUUCUACGCAAAGAUCCUCAUCCCUAUUUGGAAUAAUGAUAUGCACUGAUUUGACGAGAGGCAGUGCAUCAUGCUAGUAUGAAAGUAGAAUCUGAAAACCCUGACACCUCAGCUAUGGUAGUCCGACAACGAUCAACCCAGAAUUGGUAGGACCAAUCCAAGACCAAUCAUCCUAAGAUAGGCCCUAAUAUUGAUAAGUUAACCUUCAAAUGCACUCACUACAAUAAGACUGGUCAUACUAAGAGUCGUUGCUUUGAAAUUGUGGGAUAUCCAGAUUGGUGAGAUCAUAAUCAUGAUCAAUAGAAGAAGGAUUUCAAGAAAACCUCGACUACAGUUGUUGUCGAAAUAAAAAGAGAGGCUAAUGCUGUUGAGAAAGUCUUUGCAUUGGUAGCUGCUAUAGAUUAUGGUGGUAAGGUUUUAAAUACUUCCACACUUGUUAUUAAUAGUGCAUGGAUAAUUGAUUCUGGUGCUACAGAUCAUAUGACUUUUGAUUCUAGACAGGUCUCACCCCUUAGACCUUCCUCACAAAAAAUCGUUUCCAUAACCAAUGGUAACACAACCUCAGUCAUUGGGGAAGGAUCCUUAACUCUUACUGAUACUUUGAAUUUGGAUUUUGUUUUAAUUAUUCCACCUUUAGAUUACAAUAUUUUUUCAGUUUCUCAAAUCACUACAACCUUAUCUUGUAUUGUCAUUUUUUGGCCUGAAUUUUGUGUUUUUAAGGACAUCCAAACAAGACAGACCAUUGGUUAUGGUAUUAAAUGGGGAAAACUCUAUUACUUGGAUUUGCAGUCAAAGGAUUCCAAUAAGUUGCGACAAACCUUGAUGGUAGAUGGAUCUGAGGGGAAUGAGAAAAAGUCUGAAAUUUGGUUGUGACAUCGACGUUUGGGACAUGCUUCCUUUGGUUAUUUAAAAAAAUUGUUUCCUAGUUUGUUUGCAAGGAGUGAUAUUUUUGGUUUCCGUUGUGAUAUUUGUGAAUUGGAUAAAAGCCAUCGUACUUCGUUUCUGUUAAUUUUGAAUAAAAGUCUGCUUCCUUUUAUGGUUAUACAUUAUGAUGUUUGGGGCCCAUCCAAAGUCCCAACUUUGAGUGGCUUGCGUUGGUUUGUUAUUUUUAUUGAUGAUUGUACCAGAAUGACCUGAUUAUACUUGAUGAAGACCAAAGAUGAAGUGAACUUGUUGUUUCAAAAUUUCCGUAAAAUAAUUGAAACUCAGAACAAUGCAAAGGUUCGGGUUCUGCGUAGCGAUAAUGGUGGAGAAUAUCAGAUUUUUUAUUUUCAAAAGUAUUUGGAAGGACAUCGCAUCAUUCAUCAGACUACUUGUUCCAAUACAUCCUAGAAAAAUGGAGUCCCUAAACGGAAAAAUCAGCACUUGUUAGAGGUUGUUCAUGUUUCCUUGAUAGCAACAAAAAUGACGAUAUCUAAUUGGGGAGAAGCAAUCACAUCUGUCGCAUACUUGAUUAAUUGAGUAUCUUCCAGCUCAAUUGACUUCCAAACAUCUUUCCAAACUCUUACUAAUGUCGUAGUUACCCCAACUGUCCCAAAUCUACCUCCUCGUGUUUUUGGUUGCGUGGCAUUUGUGCAUCUACACAAACACCAACACACCAAGUUAACUUCCUGUGCAUUGCAAUGUGUGUUUGUUGGAUAUGCAUUACACAAAAAGUGAUAUCGAUGUUACCAUCCUCCAACUCGACGAAUGUUUAUUACAAUGGAUGUGGUGUUUAAUGAAGAUUCGAUGUAUUUUUCAUUUGAGUCUGAACUUCAAGGGGAGUACCAUAAAGAAAUUUAGACUCUCGAUUAUGAUUAUCAUAUCUCGGAAGGGGAUGAAUCCGAAAGAUCUGAACUAGUGAACAAAGAAGCGAGUGAAUUGGAUAUGAGUGGUACAACUCUAGAACCAAGUAGUAAUGAAGCUCCCGUGUCAGGAUGGAGAUUUCCAAGCCAUAAAUGUAAGUAGCUGAGCGUCAUAAAUGUUUUCAUUCAAAGUAAAGCUUUUAAUCGCUCUGACUUGCUUUGAAUGGCCAAUACUUGAUAACCUUUUGGUCUCAGUGGAUUCUUAUUGUUAGAUCCACUGAUGUUCAUUAGUUAUCUCCUACGAGCCAUUAUAUUGCAAGUCGAGGAGAUGACCUAUACCAAUAAAAGAGCAUUUAUGAGGUUCAGCUACCCUUUUUGUAAGUUUUCAAGGACUAAAACUCAGUUGUUAAACUCAUACCGGUUCGGGAAGUAAGCAUCACCUUAGUUACUUCCCCAACUCGAGGUGAAAAGUCCUAAAAUCUCCAUUUUUACACAGUGAGUUAAGCAUGGCUAUCCAAAGCUUUGAGAAAUUUCUUUUUCCAUCUUUUAACCUAUUUUCAUGUUAGUUUAGUUUACAACACCUUCAUCUUUUUAUGUUUUCAUCUUAACCUAAUUUUUAUUAAGAAAAGUUCACUCCAUCCUCUGAACUUCACCAGUUAAAGUAAAAACCCUUCCCAGUGUUCGAUCCUAGAGCCACUAUGCUAUAGUAGCUUUGCUACUUUAGUGUAAGGACCUUAGGUAUAAAUUUUGUUGAUACCCUUACAUGCCAAGCUACCAAGAGUCGGGUUAUCAAAUGGCGCCGUUGCCGGGGACAGUUGCCGGGGAAGGUGCUACUUCACUGUGAAUACAUUAGCCGGAGGUAACUUGUGAGACUUCUCAUGAGUGAGGUGAAUUCUAUCUCAUUUUUCAUUUACUAACUUUUUAUUUUAGUUUUAGAACAUUUUUAACUUAGUUUAGAUAAGUUUCUUUUAGCUUUUAACUUUCAUUUUUAGUUUAUUUUUCAUACUCUGUUUUUCCUUCCGCAUGCUCUGUUUUUUUUUUCUUUUUCUUUGUUUUAUUUAUUUGUUUUGUUCCAGCUGAAUCCGUGCAUGCCCUAUUGGAUUAGAGACCAAGAGGGAAGGUUAGUGCGGAUAGAGACUCCACGAGCUACUGAAUUAGAGAUUAUUUUGGAAGUCAUGGAGAAUCAGCCAGAGGAUCAACAUUCACAACACGGGCAGGAGAAUGAUCCGAACUUGUAUAGGUCCAUGAGGGACAGGAUGCACCCUCCGAGGAUGAGUGCACUAUCUUGCAUCAUUCCUCCUACAGAGCAAUUGAUUAUCAGGCCACACAUCGUGCCUCUGCUUCCUACUUUCCAUGGGAUGGAAAGUGAAAAUCCAUAUGCGCACAUAAAGGAAUUCGAAGAUGUGUGCAAUACUUUUCAAGAAGGGGGAACAACUAUUGAGCUUAUGAGGUUGAAGCUCUUUCCAUUCACAUUAAAGGACAAAGCCAAGAUAUGGCUCAAUUCCUUGAGACCGAGAAGCAUAAGAACAUGGACAGAACUUCAAGCUGAUUUUUUGAAGAAGUUUUUCCCUACUCAUAGAACAAAUGGAUUGAAGAGACAAAUCUCCAACUUCUCAGCACGUGAGAAUGAAAAAUUUUAUGAAUGCUGGGAGAGGUAUAUGGAGGCCAUCAAUGCAUGUCCUCACCACGACUUUGAUACAUGGCUUUUGGUGAGCUAUUUUUAUGAUGGCAUGUCAUCUUCAAUGAAGCAGAUAUUGGAGACAAUGUGUGGGGGUGAUUUCAUGAGCAGAACCCUGAGAGCUAUGGAUUUCCUAAGUUAUGUCUCAGAGGUUUCCCGNNNNNNNNNNNNNNNNNNNNNNNNNNNNNNNNNNNNNNNNNNNNNNNNNNNNNNNNNNNNNNNNNNNNNNNNNNNNNNNNNNNNNNNNNNNNNNNNNNNNNNNNNNNNNNNNNNNNNCCAUAUCAGUCACCAGCCCAAUUCAAGCCAACAAAGUCAAGGUCAAUCCUCAGUUGAGCAAGCACUCAUAAGCCUUAGCAAGGUUAUGGGAGACUUUGUGAGUGAGCAAAAAUCCAUCAACUCUCAACUAAAUCAGAAGAUUGACAACGUAGAGAGUACAUUGAACAAGAAGAUAGAUGGGAUGCAUAAUGAGUUGUCUAAGAAAAUUGACAACAUCCAAUAUUCCAUCUCAAGGCUCACAAAUUUGAACACUGUCAAUGAGAAAGGGAAGUUUCCCUCUUAGCCUCACCAAAAUCCUAAGGGGAUACAUGAAGUGGAAUCCAAAGAUGAGGAUUCUUCAAAGGUGAGGGACGUGCAAGCUAUUAUCACUUUGAGAAGUGGUAAGGAAGUGCAUCAGCCGAAGCAUGAUCAGAGGAAAGCCAAAGAAGACAAGGCUGAUAGAAAAGAAGAAAAGAAGAAAGAACAAAAGGGAAAGGAAAUUCAGAUGAAAGAAAGCAUCAUUCCUAGCAUGGAUGAGGAACUUCAAAUUCUUUUAAAGGAAGGCAUGAUGAAGAAACACAUGCCUCCUCCAUUUCCUCAAGCCUUGCGUGGGAAGAAACCGAUCAAGAAUGCUUCUGAGAUUCUUGAUGUGCUAAGACAAGUGAAGGUGAAUAUUCCUUUACUUGAUAUGAUCAAGCAACUACCCACAUAUGCAAAGUUUUUGAAGGACUUGUGCACUGUGAAAAGAGGACUCAAUGUUACAAAGCAAGCCUUCCUACUUGAGAAAGUGAGUGCUAUAAUCCAAUGCAAGUCUCCAAUCAAAUACAAAGAUCCGGGGUGUCCUACAAUCUCAGUCAAUAGUGGAGGAACCCAAGUGGAGAAGGCAUUGCUUGAUUUGGGGGCAAGUGUUAACUUGCUUCCAUACUUUGUAUACAAGGAGCUGGGGUUGGGAGAACUCAAGCCAACAUCGAUCACCCUAUCCUUAGCUGAUUGAUCAAUGAAAAUCCCCAGGGGGGUAAUAGAAGAUGUAUUGGUUCAAGUUGACAAAUUCUACUAUCCAGUAGAUUUUGUGGUGCUUGAUACGAAUCCUAUUGUCAAAAGGAUCAACUAUGUUCCAAUCAUCCUUGGAAGACCAUUCCUUGCAACAUCCAAUGCAAUCAUCAAUUGUAGGAAUGGGGUCAUGCAACUCACUUUUGGGAAUAUGACAUUGGAACUCAACAUCUUCCAUCUAUGUCAAAAGCCCAUCCAUCCUGAAGAAGAUGAGGGCCCAGAAGAAGUGUGUAUGAUAGAUACCCUGGUGGAGGAGCAUUGUAAUCAGAGUAUGCUUGAUCAGUUUGAAGAGAAUCCAGAUGAAAGCCAUGAAGAUCUUGAUGAUGGGUUAGUUGAACCCAUGAGAAUGAAUGUCGUUAUGUCAAACUGGAGACAAAAGCCAGUGAUCCUCCCUUUGUUCAAGGAUGAGGAAGAGAUAAAAGAAGCUAAGGAUGCAAUCCUUAAGCUUGAAUUGAAGACCCUUCCUGCCGAGUUGAGUAUGCUUACUUGGAGGAACGCAAUAAAGCCCCGGUGGUAAUUUCUUCUUCUUUAACCGUUUCACAAGAGGACAAUCUUCUAAGAAUCCUUAGAAAGCAUAAGAAGGCCAUCGAAUGGCAAAUUUCUGAUUUGAAGGGGAUAAGCCCAUUGAUUUGCAAGCACCAUAUUUAUAUGGAGGAGGGAGCUAAGCCAACUCGUCAGCCACAGAGGAGAUUGAAUCCUCAUAUGCAAGAGGUAGUAAGGGCUGAAUUGUUGAAGCUUCUUCAAGCGCGCAUCAUUUACCCCAUUUCAGAUAGCACUUGGGUGAGUCCAACCCAAGUUGUUCCAAAGAAGUCCGGGAUAACCGUAGUCAAUGGGGAAAAUGGAGAUGAAGUGUCCACACGCCUCACAACUGGUUGGAGGGUGUGCAUUGACUACAGGAAGCUGAAUACAGUAACGAGAAAGGAUCACUUCCCUUUACCUUUCAUGGAUCAAGUCCUUGAGAGAGUAUCUGGGCAUCCUUUUUAUUGCUUCUUGGAUGGGUAUUCCGGGUAUUUUCAAAUAGAGAUUGAUGUGGAGGACCAGGAGAAGACUACCUUCACUUGUCCAUUCGGCACCUAUGCUUAUAGGCGGAUACCUUUUGGAUUAUGCAACGCUUCUGCUACCUUCCAAAGAUGCAUGCUUAGCAUCUUUAGUGACAUGGUUGAAUGAAUCAUGGAAGUCUUCAUGGAUGACAUAACUGUGUAUGGGACUUCUUUUGAGGAUUGUUUGUCACAUCUUGAAGAUGUUUUGAAAAGAUGCAUAGAGAAAGACCUCGUACUCAAUUGGGAGAAGUGCCAUUUUAUGGUAAAUCAAGGUAUUGUUCUUAGGCACGUAAUCUCAAAGAAGGGUAUAGAGGUAGAUAGAGCUAAGGUGGAACUAAUUGUGAAGUUGCCACCUCCCACCAAUGUAAAAGGAAUAAGGCAAUUCCUUGGGCAUGUCGGGUUCUAUAGGAGGUUUAUAAAGGAUUUUCCAAGAUUGCCAAACCUCUUUGUGAAUUAUUGGUGAAGGAUGCCAAGUUUGAGUGGGAUGAUAAAUGUCAAAGGAGUUUUGAGCUUCUUAAGCAAUUCUUGACAUCAGCGCCCAUUGUGAGAGCACCAAAUUGGGAGUUGCCAUUUGAAGUGAUGUGUGACUCAAGUGAUUAUGCCAUUGGGGCUGUUUUGGGACAAAGAGAAGAUGGUAAACCUUAUGUGAUCUACUAUGCAAGCAAGUCUUUGAAUGAUGCUCAAAGGAAUUACACCACCACUGAGAAGGAAUUACUUGCUGUGGUGUAUGCUUUGGAUAAGUUCAGAGCUUAUUUGAUAGGGUCUUCCAUUAUGGUAUUCACGGAUCAUUCAGCUUUGAAGUAUUUGCUAACCAAGCAAGAUGCCAAGGCUAGGUUGAUUAGGUGGAUACUUUUGCUUCAAGAGUUCAACCUCCAGAUCAGAGAUAAGAAAGGUGUUGAGAAUGUGGUAGCUGACCACUUGUCAAGGCUCAACAUCGCUCAUGACACCCAUGGACUUCCCAUAAAUGAUGAUUUCCCUGAGGAAUCCUUGAUGCUUGUGGAGGAAGUGCCAUGGUUUGCACACAUUGCCAAUUACUUGGUCACGGGAGAAAUACCAAGUGAAUGGAGCUCUAAGGACAAGAAGAAUUUCUUUGCCAAGGUCCAUGCAUAUUAUUGGGAGGAGCCUUUUCUCUUCAAGUAUUGUGCGGACCAAAUUAUAAGGAAGUGUGUGCCUGAACAAGAGAAGCAUGGGAUCCUAUCUCAUUGCCAUGGGAAUGCAUGUGGAGGCCACUUUGCCUCUCAAAAGACGGCAAUGAGAGUUCUUCAAUCGGGCUUUUGGUGGCCCUCACUUUUUAAGGAUGCCCAUGAGGUAAGUAAAGGAUGUGAUAAGUGCCAAAGACUAGGCAAGAUUUCAAGGAGAAACAUGAUGCCUUUGAACCCCAUCUUGAUAGUGGAUCUUUUUUAUGUUUGGGGCAUAGACUUCAUGGGACCUUUCCCUAUGUCUUUUGGCCACUCCUACAUCUUGGUAGGAGUUGAUUAUGUUUCAAAGUGGGUUGAAGCUAUACCCUGUAGAACCAAUUAUCACAAAGUGGUUCUCAAGUUCCUAAAAGAAAACAUCUUCUCGAGGUUUAGAGUGCCUAAAGCAAUCAUCAGUGAUGGAGGCACUCACUUUUGCAACAAGCCCUUUGAAGCUCUUUUGGCCAAGUACGGAAUUAAGCAUAAGGUAGCUACACCUUAUCAUCCUCAGACAAGUGGCCAAGUAGAGCUAGCCAACCGGGAAAUUAAGAACAUCUUGAUGAAGGUGGUGAACACCAAUAGGAAAGAUUGGUCUGUUAAGCUCCUUGAUUCCCUAUGGGCGUAUAGGACGGCUUAUAAGACUAUCCUUGGGAUGUCACCGUACCGUCUUGUUUAUGGCAAAGCUUGCCAUCUUCCCGUUGAGAUUGAGUUCAAGGCAUGGUGGGCCAUUAAAAAGCUCAACAUGGAUUUAACUAAGGCUGGGCUAAAGAGGAGUUUGGAUUUGAAUGAGCUCGAGGAAUUGAGAAAUGAUGCCUAUCUCAACUCAAAAAUAGCUAAGGAAAAGCUAAAGAGAUGGCAUGAUCAGUUGGUGACCAAGAAAGAAUUUUUCAAGGGACAAAGAGUCUUGCUAUAUGACUCUAAGCUUCACCUAUUUUCGGGAAAGCUCAAAUCAAGGUGGGUAGGGCCUUUUGUCAUCCACCAAGUACACUCACAUGGAGUAAUUGAGUUACUCAACUCAAAAAGUGCAAAGACCUUCAAGGUAAAUGGGCAAAGACUCAAGCCCUACAUCGAGCCAUUUUCCCGUGACAAGGAGGUACUCAUCCUCCAUGACCCAUCACAUCCUUGAGAAAGUGUGGUAAGUUGAUGAGCUUAGCAUGAAAAGCUAAGUGCUCAUCUCUUUUUGUUUUAAUUUUAGUAUUACAUUCUUGUUUACUUUGCAUUUUUAAUACUUUUGCACAUAUGUUGUUUAGGUUUCUUAGUUUUGAUUUUGAUUUUUUAUGUUUUUAAUGGAGCUUUGAUGUCCAAUAGCAGGUACGAAAGCUCAUAAGCUCACAAAUGUGGAGAGAAAGGUGAAAUAGGGGAGAAAUAUAUCUAAGUCCAAGCUUAAAAGCCCAUUUCGCAACUCAAAAAGUGAGUUGCGAAAAUUUGGCAAGGUGAAUUUCACCUUGCGAAAUGCACAUUUUGGCAAGAUGCAAUUUACAACCUCUCGGGAUUGCACUUUCGCAAGGAGUAACCAGUGCGAAAAUUUUCGCAAGGAGUAACCAGUGCGAAAAUUUUCGCAAGUCAUUUUUCACCUUGCGAAAUUGUUUUCAAAGCAAAUAUCAAAAUGAAACCUCUCGGGACUGGUUUUUAAGGGGAGUAGCUAAUGCGAAAAUUUGGCAAGGUGAAUUUUCACCUUGCGAAAUUUUUUCUUCAUACUUACCAAGGAUUUGAUUCUUUUUAAAUUCAUUUUCAAACUUCAAUUUUGUAGUUUUAACACUCCUGAUUAGCUUUUGAGUAUAGUAUGGAUAACUAUCAUCUCCCCCCAACCUAAGUCUUUCUUUAAGCUUAACAAAAUUAACCAUCUCUUGAUAGGCUAGGAACGCACCUCUUAUUCACAAUUCUUUUCACUUACUAAACUUAACCAAUUCACCCAUGUAACAAGCAGAGGAUCGGUGACUCCCAACCAAUAAAGGCUUAGGGCACCAGGCUUUAAAGGCUUUCGCCACCCCUUCGGACCAUGCUUAGGUUUCAAGGCAAGCAAAGAAGUUUAUGCUAUUAUUAUUAUUUUUUUUUCUUUUUCUAUUUUUACAAAGACUCAUUGGUCUUUAUGAGGUGUCCCAACACUAUUAAAGAGAGGUUAAAGGUGUCAAAUUAUGAUUUCUCAAGCUUAGAGGGUGAGAUAGUUUCACAUCUUAUAACUGGAAUCUAAUGUAUGUGUGUGCGAAUAGCUUAAGUGGAAGAGAUAAGUUUGCAUGCAAUGGGAGUUUCAACAAUUCAUCAGCUUUNNNNNNNNNNNNNNNNNNNNNNNNNNNNNNNNNNNNNNNNNNNNNNNNNNNNNNNNNNNNNNNNNNNNNNNNNNNNNNNNNNNNNNNNNNNNNNNNNNNNNNNNNNNNNNNNNNNNNNNNNNNNNNNNNNNNNNNNNNNNNNNNNNNNNNNNNNNNNNNNNNNNNNNNNNNNNNNNNNNNNNNNNNNNNNNNNNNNNNNNNNNNNNNNNNNNNNNNNNNNNNNNNNNNNNNNNNNNNNNNNNNNNNNNNNNNNNNNNNNNNNNNNNNNNNNNNNNNNNNNNNNNNNNNNNNNNNNNNNNNNNNNNNNNNNNNNNNNNNNNNNNNNNNNNNNNNNNNNNNNNNNNNNNNNNNNNNNNNNNNNNNNNNNNNNNNNNNNNNNNNNNNNNNNNNNNNNNNNNNNNNNNNNNNNNNNNNNNNNNNNNNNNNNNNNNNNNNNNNNNNNNNNNNNNNNNNNNNNNNNNNNNNNNNNNNNNNNNNNNNNNNNNNNNNNNNNNNNNNNNNNNNNNNNNNNNNNNNNNNNNNNNNNNNNNNNNNNNNNNNNNNNNNNNNNNNNNNNNNNNNNNNNNNNNNNNNNNNNNNNNNNNNNNNNNNNNNNNNNNNNNNNNNNNNNNNNNNNNNNNNNNNNNNNNNNNNNNNNNNNNNNNNNNNNNNNNNNNNNNNNNNNNNNNNNNNNNNNNNNNNNNNNNNNNNNNNNNNNNNNNNNNNNNNNNNNNNNNNNNNNNNNNNNNNNNNNNNNNNNNNNNNNNNNNNNNNNNNNNNNNNNNNNNNNNNNNNNNNNGAAUUUAAAUGAAGCUGAUAGCAUGUACCCCAAAAAGAAGAUGAACUAUUUAGCUCAUCCUCCACUCACACACCCUACUUCAUGCUGAAUUCCCCCUGGAUCCCAAACAAAAUUGGCAUCCUUUCCCAUUUGGUCCAAGGGAAUUCGUUUCUCUUCUCUUCCCUGGAGAAGUGGAUGCUUUAAAGGGUUCAGGUAACCCUUUAUCAUCUUGAACCUUAUGAUUUUCAAUGGAAGGUUGGUCCAUAGAGUUGUCAUAGCAAUCCCCUACCAAAGUGUCGAUCUUUAAUACUUUCCUUAAUCUUUUUGCAUUGGUUCCUUGAAGGUUAUGGUGGGGUUGAGGAGGAAGCUUCCUUUUCCCCCUUGCUAUGUCGAGAUUGGUGAGUUUCUCAAUGGAGUCUUGAACUUUUUCUAUCCUUAGUGAUAGAUCAUUAUAAACCCCCUCCAUUCUUACAUUUAUUGAACUCUCCAAAUUAUCAAUCUUUUCAUUAAGAUGAGAGUUGAUCUUUUGUUGUUCACCUACAAAGUCCUCCAUGACUUUGCUUAUCUUCAAAAUGGCUUGCUCCAAUGAAGAUGUACUCAUUGAUGGUUGAGGUUGAGGUUGGGUUGUAAGGUUUUGAUGGUUAUUCCAACUUGAGGUGUAGGAGCUUUGGUAACCGUACAUGUCUCUCACAAUUGGAAUGGUAGGGCACUCCCCUACCGUAUGCUCAUAUGAAUCAUCUCCAUUCAAAGCAUACUUACUACCCCAUUGGCUUUGUUGAACUUGCCUUUUCCCUAAUUCAAUCCGAUCCCUCAUGGAUAGGUAUGCGAAUUUGUCCUUCUCAUAAUCAUAAUGAGAGCUUUGAUCUUCAUGUGGAAUUUCCAUUUCUAAAAAAAAUGAUAUUCAACUAAGGCUCUUUUCUUCAACUUGUACCAGGGUUCCCUCUUGGUCUCGAAUCCAACAAGGAAUGCACAAAUUGAAAUUAAAACAAAAAUAAAAGAAAAGAGAAUAAAAAAAAAUUAACUAAAUAAAAACUAAACUAAAAAAAAUUAUAAGAAAACUCACCAAACUUGUGAUGAAGAUCACAAGUUACCCUUAAUGGUUGCUUCACUGUGCUUGUGGCACUUUCCCCGGCAACGGCGCCAUUUGAUUCGACUCAUGGUAGCUUAGCUUUAAAGGAGUAUCAAUAAAAUUUAUACCUUAAAUACUAUUACUAAAGUAGCCAAGCUACUAUAGCAUAGUGGUUCUAGGAUCGUUCACUGGGAAGGGUUUUCGUAAACACUAGUGAUAUUCAAAUUAGGAAAAUAUGUGAUUUUCUUAUGGAUGUUAGCUUUAAAAGAAAGUGUAAAUGUUUUAGAAAGAUUUAAACUAAUCUAAGCUAACAUUAAAGACUAAAAUGAAAGGGUGUAAAAACAAGUUUCUCAAAGAUAGGAUAGCUAUGCUCUGGCUCUUAUGCAAAUUGGAAAUCUCAGGAUAGGCUCCUCGCGUUGGGGUUGCAACUAUGGUGAUGCUUGCUUCCCGAACCGGUAUGGAUUUAGCAAAUCAAGUUUUAAUCCUUUAAAAUGGCAAAACAGAUGGUAGUGAAUUUCAUCAAUGGUUAUUCACCUUAGACUUCUUUUGAAUGACUCGUAAGAGAUAACUAAUGGUCUAAAGCUAAAAGUUUACCAAAUAUUGGCAACUCAAAGUCAUUCCAGGUGAUAAACUCACCUUUCAAUGGCCAUUGAAAUUGGUUCUAACGGAUUAAUGCAAAACUUGGAAUUGAAAACCUCACCUUCCAAUAGCUCGUAGGAGAUAACUAAUGGAUAGAAAUCCAAAAGCUUAUCAAGUAUUGGCCGUUGGAAGUUGUCCAAAGGAAAUAAAAACCAAACUUUGCAUUAAUGAACCUUUAAUGAAAAACGACUACCUUACCUUCCAGGUGCGAGAAAUUUCCAUGGGAUUGCAUCCAAGUCAUCACAUAACAUCCAUACUUCGAGAAACUAAAAGUUUUAGCCAAUCAUCCUCUGAGGAAAAGCCCUCAGAGGCUGUUUGGCUACUAAGAAAAUAGAAAUGGGGAAGAACAGGAGAAGAGAGAAAAACAGAGCAAGGCUCCGUCUCUGUAUAUCCGUCUAUAUAUGUGUAUAUUUUACAAUGGAUGCACGGGAAUAUAAAUAGAGAAGUUUUUUCCAACCUUCCUAGCUAAGAAAUCUUAUGAUUGGUGGAUUACAAGGAGAAGAAUGGAAAUUUAUACAAAAAUAUCUAAAAGAAAAUAUCUCGCGUGGAGUCGGCAAAACAGAGGAAAAUUCGCACCACGCAUGGGCUGUGCGAAUUUUGAAGGUGUUGUGCGAGUGUUGUGCAAGUUUCGCACAAGCUUCGCACAAGAUGAAGGUGUUGUGCGAGUGUUGUGCGAGUUUCGCACAAGCUGAAGGUGUUGUGCGAAUUUCGCACAAGCUGAAGGUGUUGUGCGAAUUUCGCACAAGCUGAAGGUGUUGUGCGAAUUUCGCACAAGCCUGGAGCAGUUGUCUUCCAAAGGCCAUAUCUUCCUCAUUUCAGCUCCAAAUUGUAUACGGUUUAAAGCGUUGGAUUCUUGACUUCCUGAGCUUUGAAAUGGUAUAUAGCAUGUAGAAAAUGGACUUUGGAAAGUGCUCCAAAAGUGCAAAGGAAGACUGCAGCUGCUGUCAUCUAUUUUCUUCACUUUCUCUUUGCUUCUCUUUGCUUCUUUCCUUUGCUUGGCUUGUCUUAAUGAUCCAAAAAGCUGUCAAAACACUAAAACUAGCCACAAAUAUGAUUAGAAGUCAUUGCUAGGUCCUUAACAUGCCAAUUGGAAUAAAGAUGGAGAAUUACUACACAAAAGUGCUUAAAAGAUAUUGAAUUAAAGGUAUAAAAUAGCACUUUUUGGGUAGUAAUCAACUCCUCAGUUCAUCCCCGUACUUAGACAAAUUUUCAAAAAAAAUUUCAUGGCCAAAAACCCUUUUUAAAGCCUUCUCAACUUCAUUUUUCAUGCAUAAAAUACUAUUCCCCUUGCAUUUCCUCUCUAGGCCGCGUGCUUCAUUGUUUCAAGGUGAGUAAUUUUUCAUUUUUCUCCAUUUUUGGCUCCUUAAAUUGCUUGUUUAUGUCAUUUCUAUGUUUUAGGAACCAUAAACAUGCAUUUUCAUCCAUUAAAACCAUUUCAAAAAUCCAUUUUUUCAAAUCAAAGACCCAUAUGGCCGGCCACCAUUUUUGCAAAAAUCUCUAUCUUGCAAUGUGUUUUAGGCUCCCAAACUUACUCCAUUGCGUUUAGAAUCAUGUUUCCAUUAAAACCAUACCCUUUUUCUGAAUUUUAAACCGUUAAAAAUGAAAACUCAAAUUCAAAGUAAGCAUUGGAGAAGAAGAUGAAUAGUGCAUGUGAAUAGUGCUGCGUGAAUAGUGCCCGUUGCCAAAUUUAGCAACCACUAUUCAUGCCUUGCAAAUUUUGCACUGGUUACCAUUUCAACUGUAUUUUUGACACUUUACCCCUGGGAUGCUCUAUUUUUCGUGUUUUUCAGUCUUAUUUCAGUAUUUAUACCAUGGCACGGACACGGGGGACAUCCUCUUCAGCUAGUCAGCGUGGGGCCCACUCACAGAAAGGUGGUCAUUCUACACCAUAUCAGCCUGCCCAGACCCCAGUUCCCUCUACUCAGCACGGGUUCGAGACCAGACGAUCAUCUGGGUCUUCCAUGGCACCAAUGCCACCCCCUGUGAGCAGUCCUCCACCUAAGAGGACUAGGAUUUCAGGACUAGGCGAGUCCUCCAGAGCCCCUCCAUCACCUCCAGCAUCUACUAUCCCAGGCUCUUCACACCUAGCAGAGGUCCUCAAGCGGCCUAUGAUAGCAGGUCCACCCCUACCAGGCAACACGGAUAUCAGAGAUAGGCCAUUUCACGAUGAGAUCUGUAUGGAGCAUGAGACUCUCCGCCUAUUACCAGAGCUAGAGGAGUCAUACCGCCUUCUGCAGAGGUACCACAUCGAGCCAUUUAUGACUCCUAGGUCCUUCUAUUACCCUAGGGUAGUCUUAGAUUUCUACCAGACUAUGACUACUAGAGGCGUUCAGGACCCCAUAGCCAUUCAUUUUUUGAUUGAUGGCCAGCAUGGUAUUUUAGAGGCCCGAGAUAUAGCCGCCGCUAUGCAUUUUCCGCCUAUCCCUGAGGACCUUGGUUCCUUCCGGCAUUGGUCUCAGUAUUCAGAGCCCGACAUGGUGUCUACCUUAUCAGGAGGUAGAGUCACUGGUAGGACCAUUUUGAAGAGGGAGCUUCCUCCACGGAUGUUACUUAUCGAUUUGGUGCUCCGCACCAAUCUUUUUCCACUCCAGCAUGUCGUCCAGAGGAGAGGUGCUAUCCUAGAUGCACUUUACCGCAUCUCUGAGGGAUUCUACUUUGGACCCCACCAUCUAGUCAUGACUGCUCUUACCUAUUUUGAGGAAAAGGUGCAUAGGAAGCGCCUACGCAGAGCUGGUACUAUUCCACUCUUAUUUCCGAGGCUGAUCUCUCAGGUCUUAGAGGAUAUGGGAUACCCUUCUCAGCCCCACCUAGAGCGUCGUCAUCAUUGUCGAGAGCUCUUUACCAGUGAGAGUUGGACCCAUUUCUUAGACCGCUCACCCAUGGACCAGGGUAUCCCUAGACCAUUAGCUCCCGCGCCUCCAGCUUCUCCAGCACCUCCCGAUUCUCCAGCAGCUCCCGAUUCUCCAGCAGCCUCAGCACCUACAGUACAAACAUCACCAGAGCAGGACCCACAUACCACAGAGUCUUCUUCUUCAGUACCUGUUCCAGUGACUUGCAUUACUGAUACUCCCACCCCACCAGUCACUCCUGCUCCAGCCUAUGCUGAGUCUUUAGCCGGGCCAUCCAUCACUGUCUCCGCUAUAGAGUUCAGAGCUCUCAUGUCGUCCUUUCACUCAUUGAGCGCCUCUCAGGCCACCUUAGUCCGUGAGAUGCAGGCCAUCAGACGAUAGAUGGAUACCAUACAGACACAUCAGGCUCAGCAUAUAGCUAUUCAGGCUCAGCAUACAGCUAUCCUGGACCAGCACUCCGCCAUACUCUCUCAGAUCCACCAUCACCUGGGCAUAUCACCUCUUCCACCUCAGGAGCCACAUCCAUGAUUGGAUAUUUCUAUCUCCAUUUUGUAUAUGUUUUUUGUAUAUGAUACAUGUUAUAUCAUUCAUUCCUCAUCUUUUUCGAUAGAAACAUUGGGGACAAUGUUCAUCUCGGUUGGGGGGAGAGUUGAGCAAGUAAGUAUUUCCUAUUUUAGUUAGUUAUUUUGUUGAUUUAGUAGUUUUUGACCUUUUUCAAAAUUUUUUGUUUCAUUCUCUAUGGUUGUUAAAGAUAAUUUCUCAAAAUAAAAUAGGAUAAGUCGAGUUUUAACUUAAUUACUUAAGUCUUAGAGUUUGUUUUAUGCUUUCAAAGUUGAUAAUCUAUUGAAGCCCUCUUUGAUUUCGAACUUAUUUCUUCCAUUUCAAGCUUUACACACACCGUGCACAUUAGAUCCUGGAUAUAUGAUGUAAAACUUUCUCACCCUCUAAGCUUAGGAAAAUUUUGACUUGGUUCAUUACUUAAUCUCUUUUUAAUAGUGCUGGGACACCUCAAAAAGACCAAUGAGUCUUAAAAAAAAAAAAAAAAAAAAAAAAAGCUUCUACUCUUUCCUUGAAACCUAAGCAUGAUCCGAAGGGGUGGCGAAAGCCUUUAAAACCCAAUGCCCUAAACCUUGAUUGGUUGGGAGUCAUCGAUCCUCUGCUUGCUACAUAGGUGAAUUGGUUAAGUUUAGUGAGUAAAAAGAAUUGUGAAUAAGAAGGUGCGUUCCUAGCCUAUUAAUAGUUGGUUAAUUUUGCCAAAGUUCGAGAAAAGCUUAGGUUGGGGGGAGAGGAUAGUUGUACAUACUAUAUCCGGAAGCUAAUCUCAUUAACACUUAGCUCAUUAUGGAAGAGUUUGAUCCGGAACCUUGAGAGUAGAGAUUCUUUUGAUACUUAAUUGCAUAAUCUCCACUCUUUGUACUUUUUGUUUAAGUUUUAGCUUUGACAACUCCUAUUGCAUUUUGAAUCUUCAUAUCUUUAGUUCACCAUGUGAGAUGUGUUUUGAUAUCAGUCAUGCCACUCAAUUAUUUUUUGGAGUGAUUUGCAUGACCUCUUUUAUGUAUAUUAUUAUGUUUGCUUAGUUUUUAUCUCCUCCAUUGCUAAGGGACUAGCAAUGAGUCGGUUGGGGGGUAUGAUUACUACAGAAAAGUGCUAUUUUGUAGACCUAAUUAUAAGGGUUUUAAGCACCUUUGAGUAGUAAUCAUAUUCAUUUAACCUAAUUAAUUCAUUAAGCUCUUUAGUAAUUAGUUCUAACCAUUUUUAGUGGCAAGUUUACAUGUUUUUCAUCAGCUUAUGAACCAAUUCAAGCAUGCCAAUUGAUGGAGGAGCUACUUGGGCGAGUUAAGCAAGGAUUUUGGACGUUUACAGGCUUGAAUUUCAAGUGGAAACAUGAGCACAAGCAAUGGGAACACCAUUUCGCAAGGGGAGGCAAUUCACUUGCCAAAUGACCAAUUUCGCAAGGUGAAUUUCACCUUGCCAAAAUUUCGCAAGGGGAUUUUCCUCAUGGUGCGAAAUUUGGCCAUUUCGCACCAUGAAGAAAACCACCUUGCGAAAUUUCGCAAGGUGGAUUUAGGCACCUUGCGAAAUGCCAAAUUUCGCAAGGUGGCUUUUCACCUUGCGAAAUUUGGACCUUUCAUCUUCCCCCCUUGCGAAAUGCCUUUGAAAUCUCCUGUUUUGAGACGCUGUUGAUGAUAUUCCACUGCCGGUUCUCCAAGAUAUUUUGCUUGACUUUUAGCUUUGUAAAUACCUAUUUUACCCUUGUAAUCAACCAAUGAAAAGGUUGCUUUUGUAAUAACUCUUGUAAUUUAGCUUUUUAUUGUCUUUAAAUAAAGGUGAAGAGCCUCAGACACGAUCAUCUUGUAACCUGUAACUUUAUAAGUUAUAAGAGCACUUUUGUUCAUACGCUUCUUUUAUCUUUUUCUUUCUCAUUUUCUUAGUAGCCAAACAUCCUUGGAGGAUGAAAUCCCCAAGGAUGAGAGGCAAAAACCUUUUAGUUUCUUGAAGUAAUGGAUGCCAUGUGAAGCUCCCAUGUCAGGAUGGAGAUUUCCAAGCCAUAAAUGUAAGUAGCUGAGCGUCAUAAAUGUUUUCAUUCAAAGUAAAGCUUUUAAUCCCUCUGACUUGCUUUGAAUGGCCAAUACUUGAUAACCUUUUGGUCUCAGUGGAUUCUUAUUUUUAGAUCCACUAAUGUUCAUUAGUUAUCUCCUACGAGCCAUUGUAUUGCAAGUCGAGGAGAUGACCUAUACCAAUAAAAGAGCAUUUAUGAGGUUCAGCUACCCUUUUUGUAAGUUUUCAAGGACUAAAACUCAGUUGUUAAACUCAUACCGGUUCGGGAAGUAAGCAUCACCUUAGUUACUUCCCCAACUCGAGGUGAAAAGUCCUAAAAUCUCCAUUUUUACACAGUGAGUUAAGCAUGGCUAUCCAAAGCUUUGAGAAACUUCUUUUUCCAUCUUUUAACCUAUUUUCAUGUUAGUUUAGUUUACAACACCUUCAUCUUUUUAUGUUUUCAUCUUAACCUAAUUUUUAUUAAGAAAAGUUCACUCCAUCCUCCGAACUUCACCAGUUAAAGUAAAAACCCUUCCCAGUGUUCGAUCCUAGAGCCACUAUGCUAUAGUAGCUUUGCUACUUUAGUGUAAGGACCUUAGGUAUAAAUUUUGUUGAUACCCUUACAUGCCAAGCUACUAAGAGUCGGGUUAUCAAUAGGUUACCAAUCUAGGCAACCAAUCCAAUUGUUUUGUGACAAUAAAGCCACAUGUGGCAUUGCUCAUAAUCCAGUACAACAUGAUCGUACAAAGCAUGUCGAGGUGGACAGAUUCUUCAUUAAGGAGAAGUUGGAUGAUAAGAUUGUGGAAUUGCCUAAGAUUCGAUCAGAAGAUCAAUUAGCCGAUAUCCUCACCAAAGUUGUCUCAAGUCAAGUGUUCUCAAAAAUUUUAGAGAAGUUGGGCAUGUGUGACAUCUAUGCACCAACUUGAGGGGGAGUGUUGAGAUAUUAGGAAUGCUUUCCUUGUAUCAUUCUUUCCUUAUAUCAUUCUUUCCUUGUAUCAUUCUUUCCCAUUCUUAUAAUGGUGAUUACCCUCUAUAUAUACUCUGUACAUGAACGAAUAAAAGAAUGAAUGAGAUAAAAAAAAAUACCAUUCAUCAAUUUGAAGAAAACUGUUAUCAGUGUAUAAAUACCAAUGUAAAAGGUUAUUCUUCAAGAUAGAAAAUUGAAAACAAUAUCUUUCUUGAUACAAAGUGUCACUCACCUCCUCGGACCAUCACACAGAACAUAGUUCUACCUAAAAGGAAAUGAAAACUAAAGCUACGUGACAAGGUUCUUCAGUAAUGCUGAAAGUUAGAAAACCCAGUUCAAAGAAAUUUUUGGUGCCAAGCUUUGUAGAAAAGUCUUAGGGUUCUCAUCGAAGGCAAGCAAUGUGAUACCAAUUAUCAAGUUGAUAUAAAACCCGUAAUUCUAAGGGUAGAGAGAGAGGGAGAUAGGGCCAAACUUAGGGAAAAAAACCAAAAUUCAUUGAAAUAAGUUUGUUUUUUGAUUGAUCAUGAGAAUUAAUAAACCUUAGGACAUUUUUAUUGUUAAAUUUUAACACAUAAGAAAAUCUGGAUAUGGAGGCAUACAAGAUUUUACUUAAUUGGCUAAUAAAACCUCAAGGUCCUAUACAAAUUAACAUAAUUCAAUUGUUAUUAAUGUCUUACUUUUGUGAGUGAAUUGUUGAGUUUUGUGAUAUGGGUUUAACUUUUCAUUGACUUAAUUUGAAUAUAUGAAUAGACUACUUAAUUAAUUUGUCUUAUCCCAUAAUAACACAAUUUAUAUUAUGGAACAUAUAAGAAAAAUUGAUAGGAUCAAAUAUAGUUGGAUCUAACACAUUAUGUUAACAUUAAUACUCAUAUUCAAUUGUGUAUAUAAAUUCAAGAAACUAACACAUACACACAUGUAUAUAUAAGGUUUCAAUUUUAUAAAUAUUUGCAUAAUGAGUAUAUUUCAAAUAAUCAAUAAAAGUUUGUAUCACAUAUAAAGUGAUAUAUUAACAAAAUAUAAUUUAUAGUUAAAUCAUGUUUUCAAAGUAGUGAAAUAACAUAUUGACUAGAGAAUUUAAAAUAUGUAUAUACACACCAAAAACAUAAAUACAUUGAUUCUUGUUAACUUGUGAAUUCAAAAAAGUUUUAGUUUAGCAAAAUCAAUACCAAAAUUUUAUCUUGAUCAACUCAUUGUAUUGGGUGGGGACAUAUCUCUACUAAAAUAUUUGAAAGGAAAAUUUUACAUUUGAGAUGUUCUUAUCCUCUUGAAUUUGAUAGUUUGUUCUUAGUUUGAGAUUCUCUUGCCCUUUGAUAAAAUUAAUAGUGUAAGUACAAAUUGAUAAAAGUUUAGUCAAAAAUGAAAAUUUACUUGAAGUGUCUUAUUCACCUUAAUUAAUAAGGAUCCAUGAGUUGACUAAUCGAGUUUUGAGCCUUCAAGUUGUUUGAGCAUUUUAUCUUCAAUUGCUCAACUUUUUCCAUCUAGAUAUCAAUCAAACUUAAGACUAAGGUGUUAGAUUCCAUUAUUUUAUGUACUAAAUUCGUUUAAUAGAAUGCUUGGUGAUUCAAAAGUAAUAACCUUUGAACUUAAGAAUCAGUCCAAACAACAACUUUAGUAAGAAAAUCAAUGUCAUAAUUUGAUUUUUUAACUCUUUUGGAUUACUUAAGAACAUGCACCAACUUCUCAAAAUAUUCUUAAGCAAAAUAUUGGAAAUUGAAAUGUUCUUUCCCUCUUAAUUUGAUUACUGGUUCUUGCUUCAGACUCUUUAUCUCACUUUUAGAUAUUUAGAUUACAAAAUUGAAUCAAUUGUGAGUUCAAAUUAAUUGGCAAGACUUGGAUCAAAAUUAAAAAUUGACUUGAAAUAUUUGACAUACCUCUAUUAGUAAGGAUUUCCAUGGCUUAACUAACUGAGGUUGGCUCUAUCUUUAACCAAUUAGCUAACUCAAUGAUAGAUUUUUAGUGUCUUGGCAUAUCCAACAAAAACUUGAUCAAAUUCAAGGUUAAAGUGCAAUUUCAUGUACCAACUUAUCAAACAAAAUGUUUAAUACUUAAAGUUAACAAUGCAAUUAAGCUUAUCCUAAAAAUGCUUGAAAACAAGUCCUAAUAAUUUGAAUAAAACAAAUAUGGACUUUAGGCCUAUGGAGGCGUAUGGACUUUCAAAAUAGGGUAACUAGGAAAAAAAAAAAAAAGAAAAAAAAAUGAAAAAUGAAAAUCAUUAGAAAGAAUUUCAUCCCUUUAAAUCACUUAGCUAGGCAAUAUAAACUAAUGAGAGAAAGAAAAAGUGGUUUACCAAAAACCAAGAUAAAUGUUUAAUAUCUUCCAUAACGUAUCCAUUGAACAAAUUUGCAAAGGAACUCGAACCACUUGUGCAUAUGGUCAUCUUCAUCAUUUUGGGCUUCUUUGCCCAUCAACAUUAGUAUCUUUUGUAUAUAAGCCAAGAUGGACAGCAGACUUCAUCCAUGGACUAGCAUUUAGAUGAUGGAACAUCAACUAAUCCAAAUUCAUCAUCAUAGAAAUUAGCAUCAAUAUAAACAAAGUGAGGAAUUUAAGAUACUUUAUUAAAUUCCUUAAGUGAUCUUAAAAAAUAAAUGAAGAUAAUUUACCAAUGAUCUAUCAACUCAUUCUUGAGAGAAUUUGUUAAUAAUUUCAAAUACACAGAGUUAUCCAUGCUUAAAAAAAUAUAAAUUAAAAUCAAGGACAAAAAUACAAAAGAUAUUGGAACAAAGAAGUCAUUUUUUUUAAUAGUAUUCUCAUUUUGAUUCACUAUUAGCAUCUUUUCGACAGUUUCCAAAUUAAAAAUAAUAAGGUAAGAAAUUAAAUAAAAUAAAAAUUAUAAACUAAUUAAUUAUGAAAAACCAUCUUAGAAAAUUAAAAUAAAAUCUAAAAUAAGCAAAUCCAAAUUUAGUAAUUUUUAUUUUUCAUUUUAUUUUUAUUAGUUUAUAUUUAUUUUUGUUUUUAUAUAUGUAUAUUAUUAUUAUUUUUAAAGGAAGCAAAGUUGUUGCAAAUUACAAAAUUAUAAUUGUACUACUAUGAAUAAUUCAAUAUAUUAAUGUCACACUUUAUUUUGUCAAUUUUUUUUCAUAUGUUAAAUGAUUAUGUAUCUAUAGAUAAAAUCUUAAGGAUAAUAAAUGUAUUAUAUUAUAAACUAGUUUAUAUCUAAACCUCAUUAAAAGUUGUAAAAGUUUAAGAGCAAUAUGUCUUUAUUUCUUAAAAUAAAUAGGGAAAUAUACCAAGAAUGUAACUAAGGUACACAUAUGCAUGUGAGUAAUUAAAAAUAGGAAUAAUGUAAUUCACAUAUGAAAAAUGUGAUCAAAGUAUAAAAAUACAAAAAUUAUGACCGAUGUAUUAAGGUAUAAAAAAAUUCCGUUAGGAUGUAAAAAAUGUAACUAAGGUUAUAAAAAAUAUGACCAAGGUAAUAAGAUACAAAAAUUAUUAUUAGGGUAUGAGAAAUAUGACUAAGAUAAAAAAAUAAAAAAAUAAAAUGUUAUGAGGAUGCAAAGAAUAUGACCAAGGUACCAAAAAUGCAAUUAAAGUAUAAAGAAUGUAACUAAAAUAUAAAAAAUAUGAUUAAGAUAUGAAAAAUGUGAGUGAGGUAUUAUAAUGUAAAUAAUGUGACUAAUUCAUUUAUAAUUAGGCUCAAACUUGGAUAAAAGUGAGAAAAAUAAAUAUUAAUUCAUGCUUCAACCAACUUGAUUUAUAGUGUAAUUAAGAAAUUUAAGAAACAUAUAAUAAUUUUUAAAAUCUAAAUAUAAAAAUUAAUUCAAAAGUUUUGGUCCACCAAACUCAAUGAUCAUAAUAUUAGGAAUAUUUUCAACUUUUAUUAAUCAAUAUAAGCAUUCCAUUAUUGCCUUCUAUGAUAUAAUUCUUUCCUCUCAAUAACUCUUGCCAAAGUUAAGCUUUGGAUGAUUCCUAACAUUUAUAUAACCUAAAAAAAAAAAAAAACACUCCUCUUAUCCAAGAAUUGAGGAUGUCAAAUUUUCCUAAAAUUUUGGAGCAAUUGAAAGCAAACUAAUUAAAAGCAAAGGCAUGAAAAAGGAGAAAAAAAAAAAAAAAAAAAAAAAAAGAAAUAUUGCCCCUUUAAAUGAUUUGACCAUGUCUAACAGUAUAUUGAACUCCAUGUUCUUCCAAACGCCUAACAAUUUUAAAGUUGUGCAGAUGUUUCUUUCACUAAUUUUGAUACGUCUAAUAGCAAAUAAAAAGAGAGAAGGCAUACCUCACAGGAGGGUCAAGAAAAGUGUGUUGUGUCUAAAACUAGAGAUGUCCUGAUCUUUUGGGGUGUCGGUCCGCUUUUGGGUGAUCCUCUCGCCAUCACGACUUGUCUUGACAUGGAAACCAGUAUUUUCUCUCAAUAACCAUUGUAGGCAUAUAAUGAUCCUCUUUUUGAUUCAAUUCAGUUAAAUAUCAUGCAGAUGGCUUUAAGCUCCACUCCAUCAGACCUUUCACUUUCACUCGUACAUACUAUAUGCUCUCUCCUCCUAGCUCCUCACUCCUUACCAUCCCAAACCAACUGAGCUCUUUCAUAACUUAUCUCUCCAUACCAUCACACAAAACACAAUUCUACCUGAAAGAAAAUGAAAACCAGAGUUAAGUGAGUGGGUUCUUCAAUAAUUCUAAAAGAUAAAAAAAAAAAAAAAAAAAAAAAAAACCCACUUCAAAGAAAUUUUUGGUGCCAAGCUUGGUACAAAACCCAAUUCAAAGACAAGUAAUGUGAUACUAAUUAUCAAGUCCAAACAUAACCCUUAAUUUUAUGGGCAAAGAGUGACAGAUGUCGAUUACCAAGUCCACAUAUAACUCUUAAUUUUAAGGGCAAAGAGAGAGAAAGAAGUUUAAAUGAAAGAAUAUACCAAACUAGAGCAAACCAAUAUGCAAAUAUUCUAAAUUGAGAACAUCAUAGUGAGGGUAGAUUGUAGAAGCAACAUUUCAACUUAGAUGCAUCGUUUUGAAUUUUAACCUGAUGGAGAGAAAAUAAGAACUAGCAUCCUCGUAAGAUAAGAGCUUCCACAAUGCAUCAUCGUGGGAUCCUCCCUAAAAAUUGCCGCGUGGCUCCCUUUCCCUUGCGACACGUGGCACCGCCGACAUUCCACCCGGACAUCUCACAUCCGGAAUUCUUCUCCGCCGAUAUUCCACCCGAAUGUCUCACCGCCACAAUUCUGUCCGGCCAACGUUCUACCUUAUUCGGAUGUUUCACAGCCGCCAUUAUAUCCGGCCAACGUUCCACCUUCUCCGGAUGGGAGAGGAGGACGAUUCAACUUCCCCGGGCAGACAUGUCCGGAUCCUCUGGUGACACUUACCCGGACAGCUUGGCUCGUCAGAUACUCGUGAUUCGUCGGAUCCAUUUCCGCCAACAAUCAAAGAGAUAACUCUGACAAUACUGACGACCAAGUCUCCUGAACUAUCACUCACAUUUAAUGCAAGAUACAUUCGACAAGACAUUCUCAAGUUUUCUUAGGUCUCCUGACACAUCCCCGAUAUUUAAAGUCAUAAAUUGAAGCGGUGGAUGUCGCCUAAAUAUCCUCCUGACAGCUGCAAUCUUGGACCAGAAACGUCAUGAUUGCUUCAUCACCCUAUAAGCCACAAUCAUGACGAUGGGACCCGCUGGCACAACGAGGCGAUAUUUUCUGACUCAUAUAUAAACUCUAAGAAGGCUCUCAGGGAGGUAAGAGAUAAGAAAAAAAAAAACAAUAAGCAAUAUAUCAUUCUGGAGGUCAUAAGCCAAAAAAGAUAAGCAACAAAGGAUAAACAUCCUGCUGAGUGAUAAACAUCCUUGACAAAAAUCACGGAGCCACACUCCCAAAGGAAGACCUCAUUUUCCAUACAUCUUCCAAAAUACCAACUUAAUCAUCGGAGGGUGUGUCCGGACAACCCAUCCAGACAUCUUUUUUGCAGGAGGAAGAAGGAUUCACUGUAACGCGUUGAUCGAGAUCCCGUUGCUGGUGACGACUACUGUAGCAGUGGAACUUUGCCAUCAACAUUGGCGUCAUCUGUGGGAACGUCUUUUCUUCUCAGUAAAUCCUAUACCUUCCAACUGUAAAGAUGACUUCACCCUCAAGGAGUCGUUCUUCCGCCAGAGGAGACGAAGGUUACUUCGAAUGGCGAAACAUCAUGGAAAGACGAUAGCGAGAGAACGAACGGCAGACGCAAAUUCUGCUCCAAGAAACAAGGAAACUCAGGGAAGAAAACAAUGUCUUGAGGAUCCCAGGCUCUUCCCAACAUCAGCACUAUCAGCGGAGGCAGAAUCCCUACCACUACCAGGAAGCUCCAUUCCCCCUCGAGGCGAGCCCAACCCUCGAGGCGCAUCAAGCAUGGCCUGAUGAAACCCCAGUGCACGCUCACCGCGUCCGACGAAAAGAUAGUUCAGGCUCUACUCGAGUCUCGCCCAAGCGACAACGUGAAAAAAGACCCCAAAUAUCUGACGCGAUGCGCGCACGUCUGGGACCUCAAACACCCUGCAGAAACAGGCCUUACACAGCCAUAUCACUGGAGGCACACUCCGAGCCUUCAAGCUCGCCUACUCUAUAGGGACAUGUCGCCAGCCCACUCGUGGCGCGGGUUGGUAAAGAUCCCUCGCAUUCAGCCCCUCCGGGCUCUAUCAGCAGGUGCCUGGACGACAUACUCUCCACGCCUUUCAGCUCUCGUAUCAUUAAAUAUGAGCCCCCACGAGGGUUCAUCGUCCCGAAAUUCUCCACGUAUGAUGGAUCCAGCGAUCCCUUUGAUCACAUAAUGCAUUAUUGGCAGCUCAUGACCCUAGACAUAGGGAAUGAUAUGCUGUUGUGCAAAGUUUUCCUAGCCAGCCUACAAGGCCAGGCUCUUUCGUGGUUUCAUCGACUGCCCGCAAACUCGAUUGAUAAUUUCCGGGAUUUGUCCGAGGUCUUCGUGGGACAGUACUUAUGCUCAGCCAGGCAUAAACACAAUAUCAGCACCUUGCAGAACAUCAAAAUGCAAGAAAAUGAAACUCUGAGAGAGUUCGUGAAGCGUUUCGGACAAGCUGUCCUACAGGUUGAAUCGUACAGCAUGGACGCAGUCCUCUAAAUUUUUAAACGGAGCAUAUGCCCAGGGACCCCCUUCUUCGAGUCCCUCGCCAAAAAACCUCCUACAUCCAUGGACGAAUUAUUCCGGCGUGCGAGUAAAUACUCCAUGCUAGAGGAUGACAUCCGUGCCGCUACACAGCAGGUCUUGGUAGCUGGCCAGGCCGCUAAAAGCGAAGCCACCAGAAGCUUCAGAGCACCCAACCAUCCUGGGUCAUCCAACAGGGGGCAAGAUGAGCGACGUCCGUCAUUCAUUCGAACACCUCUCACCAAGUCGUAUGAAAAACUGCUUCCUAUAAUCCAUGAUCUGCCCGGCUUCAGAUGGCCAAUACCAAUAAGAUUGAACCCCUCAAAAAGGAACCACAACAAAAGAUGUGAUUACCAUAAAGAUCAUGGGCACACAACUAAAACAUGCAUAAACCUCCAUCACAUGGUAGAGGAUCUCCUAAAGGCGGGACACUUGAAGCAGUACGUCCGAACAGCGCCUAAAGGUGAAGGAUCUUCCUAUGAUCGAGGCCCACGCGCCCCAACGGCUCCUAUUAGGGCAGUGAUCAACUACAUAUACGGAGGACCCUUGGAUGACGAGUACAGUUCCAAAAGGAAAAGGCAGAGACUGCUACGAGCAGCCACGGUUCGGGAACACGUGAGCCCCAUCCGGCCGGGAUUAUCCAGUGGGAGCAUCCAUCCUAUAGAUGGAACCAUUCUCUUCCUCGCUGUAAAUCCCGCCCGAGUGCUGCAGCCGCAUCGAGAUGCUCUCAUCCUAACAUUAGGGGUGGGAGACUACGCCGUGAAAAGAAUCCUGGUCGACCCAGGCAGCUCCGCGGACCUGUUGCAGGUGGCGGUCAUCAAACAAAUGGAUUUCGAACUCUCCAACUUGGAGAAUCCCGGAAGAACCCUGUCCGAAUUCAACAAUUCUUCCACAACCUCACUUGGGGAUGUAACACUGCCGGUUCAAGCCGGGCCAGUCAUCCUAAAUGUUCUAUUCUCUGUGGUUGAGGAUUUAUCUCCUUUCAAUGCCAUUUUGGGACGCAUGUGGUUGCAUGGUAUGAAGGCCAUUCCAUCCACAUACCAUCAAAUGGUCAGCUUCAUCACCCCAAGAUGGACAAAUUAAUCUUUACGGAAGCCAACUCGCUGCCAGGCAAUGUUAUCAGAUCGCUCGCGAGGCCGGGACCAGCGCCGACCGCGAGCACUCCCCCAAAGAAGCAAAUGCUUCUGACCAAUAGCAACUAUAGCACCCGGCGGACAAAGAUCCCCCGGCAGCAGACCCGCUGGAGGCUGUCCGGAUAUCAAAAGGAUGUGAACGCUUCACGUAUGUUAGUACCCUCCUACCGCCAGCCGAGAGAUUCGAGCUCCAAAAGGUGCUCCAACAAAAUUGCGAUAUCUUUGCUUGGGCCCACUCGGACAUGUCCGGAAUACUUCCGAGCGUCGCCUCUCAUCGGCUCAACGUAUUAGCCACCUCCAAGCCCGUUUGACAAAAAAUUCAACGAUUCCACCCGGACAGGCAGAAAGUCAUUCGGGAAGAAAUGGAAAAAUUAUUGAAGGCCGGUUUUAUAAAGGAGGUGGAGUAUCCGGAAUGGUUGGCAAACGUAGUAGUGGUCCCUAAGAAGGGAGGAAAAUGGCGGGUGUGCGUAGGCUACACCAAUCUCAAUGACGCGUGCCCCAAAGACAGUUUUCCACUACCGCGAAUAAAUCAGAUAGUAGAUGCAACCUUCGGGCAUGAAAUGCUAUCCUUUUUGGAUGCUUUCUCCGGGUAUCACCAAAUUCCCAUGGCUCCGGAAGACGAAGAAAAAACUUUCUUCAUAACUCCUCACGGGCUCUACUGUUAUAGAGUCAUGUCAUUCGGACUCAAGAACACUGGGGCCACGUACCAGAGGUUAAUGACCAAGAUUUUUAAGUCGCUGAUUGGCGACAUUAUUGAGGUGUACAUUGACGACGUGGUAGUCAAAAGCAAAACCCGAAGUGAACACACCUAGCAUUUGCAGAAAGUUUUUCAUUUAUUGAGAAAAUAUGGCAUGAAGCUUAACCCAGCCAAAUGCGCAUUCAGGGUAAGCUCGGGGAAGUUCCUAGGGUUCAUGGUUACCCAAAGAGGAAUCGAAAUCAAUCCAGAUCAGGUGAAAGCGGUCGCUGACAUGCUUGCACCAACGAACAAGAAGCAGUUGUAACGCCUCACUGGCAAACUCGUCGCUCUCGGACGGUUCAUAGCUCGAUUCACAGACAAGAUGAAGCCUUUCUUUCUAGCACUCAGAGAUGUCAAUAAAUCUGGAUGGACGCAAGGCUGCCAGAAUGCUUUUGAAGAAAUCAAACGGUAUCUUUCUCAACCCCCCAUUCUAAGCAGUCCGCUACUUGGGGAAAGACUAUACCUGUAUCUAGCAGUUACCGAUUGGGCUGUUAGCGCGGUCUUGCUCCGUUCCUUGUCGCCCCGAGAACAAAAACCCGUAUAAUUCAUUAGCAAAGCGCUUGCCGACGCAGAGACAAGGUAUUCAAGGAUGGAACAGACUGCCUUGGCAUUGCGCACGGCCGCUCAAAAACUGCGUCCCUAUUUCCAAGCUCACCCCAUAACAGUACUCACCAAUCAACCCCUCAGAAACAUUCACCAUAAACCGGACAUAACGGGAAGGAUGCUAUGAUGGGCGAUAGAGCUGAGCGAAUAUGGGAUAGAUUAUCAGCCCAGACUAUCCCUGAAGGGACAGGUCAUGGCAGAUUUUAUAACAGAGUUGCCUGAAGAGCGCGCGCCGGACAAAAAAUCGACUCCGGAUGAUGGGUGGUCUCUGCAUGUUGAUGGGGCCUCCCGCUCGUCCGGAUCAGGAGUCGGACUCCUCCUCAAAGCACCAACCAGAGAACAGCUGGAGCAAUCCAUCCGUCUAGAUUUUCCCGCCUCAAACAAUGAAGCUGAAUACGAGGCCAUCCUAUCCGGAUUGGGCCUUGCAUCCACCCUGAACGCCUCAAAAGUCAAAAUCCACAGCGACUCCCAGCUCGUCGUGGAGCAAAUACGAAAAGAGUAUGAGACCAAGGAUGAGCGCAUGGCUAAAUAUGUCAUGACCCAAAUUCCGGGCGACCCAAAAUUUGGCCCGUGACCCCUGGUCAAAGGUUUGACCCUAAGGGUUUCUCCUAUUCCACGUUGGCAGUCAACUAAAACACUCUGAAUUUUUUUUUAUUUUUUAUUUUUUAUUUCAUAUAAGUCCCACUAGGGUUCUCACCAACUAACAAUAUUUUAAACCUUACUUAAACACAUCAAGAUUUAAUAAACCUCAUUGCAUCCCAAAAUAAAAUUUCAUAAAAAUCCCCUUAAUCAAACUAAGGUCUUAUUACAUUAUCCAUAAUUCACUUAUUACAAGGUCUCAAUACCACAACACAAUAAAAAAAUAAAACCUUUCCACUAAACCGCUCCAGGGGCAUCCUAAAGUCCUCCCUGUCCCAUCUGUGGAUCCUCAGGAGUGAUAUCUGCAUCUAAAAAUAUAUAAAAAGGAAGGGGUGAGCAUUUCCACAUUACUCAGUAGGGUGCCUAACACCCAAAGGGUUAAUGGGGGAUUACUAUAUUUUAAGAACCCAAACGCAACAAUUCACCAAUAUAAAUCAAGUCACACAAUUUAACAUACAACACUAUACUUAAUUCCACAACAUCCACUUAUUAAAUGAAUGCAUAUAAACGUGUGACACACAAUCAUACAAUGCACUAUCGUUCUCGGGCUUUCACCGAAGGAUACGCGUCCGCACCCAAAUAUACUCCCCAUUUGGAGUCUUCUCGAGGUAAACUUUUGGGUCUUUCACCCUAGGGAUCUCUCUCCCUUCUUAGUUCGCCUCACACGGGCUUUCACUUUUCAUCACUAUUUUAUUUUUUUUUCCAUUUCAUACACUUUUCACAAAUUUUUUUUUCUUCAUACAACCAUGAUGCAAAUGAAUGCUACAAACUCCAAAAUUCCUCAAAAAUUUCAACAAUUCCAACAUUUUCAAUAACCCAAUAAAAUAAAAUUUUCACAUUAAAAUUCCCGAAAAUAUACCAACGAAUUUUCGGAAAUUCACACAUCAAUAUACUUGAAUUUAUGUCACAAUUUCAGAAUUUUUCAAUAAUUCUAAUAAUUCCUAAUAUUUGAGAAUAACUAAUUUUUCACAAUAAAAUUACCGCAAAUAUUCCAAUCAAUUUUCAAAAAUUCAUAAGUCACUAGAUUUGAAAUCUUACCCUAAUUCCGGAAUUUUCCUACAUUUCUAGCAAUUUUUAACAACCUAAAAUAAUUAUUUAUUAAUUACAAAGAAUUCCGGAAAUUACAAAAAAAAUCCAGAAAAAAUCCCAAAUCAUUCCAGAAAAUUCACACAACAUCAAAAUUACCUAAUUAACUCAUAAUUAUCAGAUUUAUAAUUUUUUUCCAAUGAAAAAUACAUUAAAUUUGAGUUUUAGGGUUAGUUUUCCCCUACCUCAUAUAUGAAAAUUUGGCCAUUAAAAACAAAAUUAGCCACCGUAGACUUGUUCCUCUAGUCGAAUAGAGCACUUCCUCCGAAUUUGGGCCGAAACGGAGGUCGCUUGGCCGUCCAAACGGCCGGUCAAAGAUCCGGAGAGUGACCAAAUUUUCUGCAGUA
rnacentral:lncRNA from 1 species